UUUGACCUCAAAUCAGGUAGGACUACCCGCUGAACUUAAGCAUAUCAAUAAGCGGAGGAAAAGAAACUAACAAGGAUUCCCCUAGUAACUGCGAGUGAAGAGGGAAAAGCUCAAAUUUAAAAUCUGGCAGUCUUUGAUUGUCCGAGUUGUAAUUUAGAGAAGUGUUACCCGCGCUGGACCG
rnacentral:rRNA from 1 species